UUUGUUAACUAGAUUUUAACCCGCGGUACACCGCGAGAAUAAUUUAUUUUUUAAAGUUAGUAUACAUAAAAGUUUA
rnacentral:sRNA from 1 species